AGAGGUGUGGCUCAAGUGGUAGAGUGCUUGCCUAAUAAGCAUGAGACUCUGAGUUCAGUCCCAAGUACCACUA
rnacentral:tRNA from 1 species